rnacentral:lncRNA from 1 species
UCUGAAUGUAGUCAUUGGUGACGGAAGAAAAUAUUUGUCUCUGAAAGCCAUCCGUGGAGAUCAUAAAAUCAUUCCUACAUCUUGCCUUGAGCUAGCAGAAUGAAAUUGCCCAGAGUGGAAAAAGUCAAAAUGUUCUUUUUGAGAGCUUGGCUUUCCUGUGGGUGAUUUUCCAAGGUGGGUACUUCAUUGACCAACAUUUGAGUGUGACAACAGCAUCCAGCACGGACGGUCAGUACUAGCUACUACCUACAGACAAACUCCCGCAGCAAGCCUUAGAGAAUAUGCUGACUUUAUUAUAUUCUCACUUGAAACAUCCUAAGAAGGUCCACACAUUCCUUUGGGGUCAUGAGACCAUGGCAGGGGUUGGGGGCGAGGGUUGGAUUUCUGUGUAGAAUUGAAUCCUCCACAUGAUGGCACAGGGUGGUCAUUGGGGAGAGCUGGGAGCCUUUGGCUACCCUGUCUUAGCCAUGAUUUCCAGCACUGAGCAAAUGAGAGCUAAUUUUAGGUGACAUCUGGACAAGGCUUUACCUCACACUGCACCCUGCAGUGACACCACAAAGUGUCUUUUCAAUUUUCAGUCCUUCUGAACAUAGGAAGGAUAAAUUCUCAGUUUUGUAAACUUAUAUCUGCACUCAUGAGAAAAGACGGGUACCGGUUUCUGAUUUGGAGGUAUUAGGCUUUAAUUGCUUUGUAAAACAUGCCAGCCUCCCCUCCACCCAUAAUUACUCUAUGGCAGUUUUAAAGGUAGGAGGAAAUUUUAUUUAAAAACAGAUUGGUGUAUUUCUCUCACAUUCUAUGGUGUCUUUGGUUGGGCAAGAAUGCACUGGCACAGUGCUCUGCUCCUCCAGGAUUCGGUGCAAUGGCUAAGGCAGGACGUGAGGCUGGCUACGCUCUGUUCAUUACUGCUUCCUCAAAAAUCACACUGAACCAAGACCAUGGCCACGGAGACUAGGAAUGCUGUCAUCCUCCCCCGUCCUCACUCCUGUGAGGCCUGGCCUCCUGAGUCUGCCCACUUUGUAACAAGUAUUAUGAAUGGUUGGGAGAAAAGCAGCAGCCUUGGUUUUAAGCAGGGCCAGUGAUGUAAUGACCUCGUAUCUUUAAGGUUCAGUUCCUCACCUCAGGCCAAGGGGCUCCUGUUCUCUUACUUCUGGAAGGUGGGGUCUAGUUCACCCCUGCAGCCUGCUGAAGCUGUGUGCUCCAAGGGCCAGGAAUGGAUGGAGCAGGUGCAGAUGGGAUGGGUGAUGCAGCGAUAGCAGCCGCGGCACUGAGAUCGUGUCACACGUGAGUUCUGAGCCUUUUCUCCGCUUAGGCUGCAAAUCCUUGGCAAUCGGAGGCAGGCUCUGAAUUAAGCUUAAUUAAAACUCACUCUUAAUUAGGGCCAUUACUUAAAAUCAACUCUAUGUAAUAAAGCCGUGUAAUCAUAAUUAAGCCCCAGGAAUGGAAUUAGGAAGCAGGGAAUGUGAAAGCCAAAUACAAGGGCCUUGUGAUGGUGGGGGUGACAGAGCCUUCUUCUUCAAUUAACAGGAUUUUUAAGUAAAUGAGCAGCAGCCAGUCGUGGUGACGACUUGGGUAGCCACAGGCAUGGUGAGCACACCAGAAAGGGGACGGACUUGAAGAAAGUAGACCCCAGGGGCAAUGGGCUCAGGUAGUGUGAUGGGUGACAGGGACAGUCACAAUGUCCAAACUGUCUUUAAUUUAAAAUCCUUGCUUCCUAAGGAACUCUUGUUAGAGGAGCUUGGAUCAGCACAGCCAAGGUCAGCGCUAUCCACCUGUCUUCUGGCUGCUGAUGUCACAGUCAUAGUGAUUGAUCCUAAGGAGAAAAGGGAAGUGACUCCUGGUGGCAGCCUCCUGCUUUGAUAUCAUUAAUAAGCCACCAAAGAGUGGGGACACAAUUUGGAAAUGAAAGGGCCAGUUUUGCAGGUUGGACGUACCAGAUGCUGGCAGUGGCCUAGGGUGUUGUUUCCUUCUCAAUUUCUUGAGCUAUGGUGUGGAAAUUGAAAUAGGCAGUGCCUUCAGGUUGUUCUGAUAAAUAUAAAGCAUUUAUAUAGCAUAGUGUUUACCGUAGUGCCUACAAACAACAGCAAAGUUUAUAUAGUUCUAAUAUAGGUAUGCUGCAGUAAGCACUGUUGUUUAUACGUUUGAGACCGCUGUUGGCCAUAGAUGUCAUAUUAAAUAGACAUCAUUUUCUUUAAUUUAUACGUAAAUAACUGUGGACUCAAAGAGGCCCAGGAACUCACAUAGGACAAGUAACAUCCCAUGGGAAGGAAGUGCAUAGAAAGAGCCACACAUGCAAGAGUUAUAAAGGCAGUGUCUGCCCCAGCUUGUUACUGAUCAGAGUCGGUGACGCCCACCGGAGAACAAGUGCCUAGAAGCACAGGCCUCUCAGAGAAGGCUGCUCUUUCAGGCCUAGUUUCUAGGCCCAAGCCUGUUUGUCUAAUUCUGCCAAAGAAAGAGACUUGCUCAUUCCAGAGUUAUAGAGUUGGAGGGAAAGUACAGACAGUUUCUUCUCCCAGCUUCCCCUCCAUUUCAUUUUCUUUGCUCAGGGUUCUUGGGGUUAUUCUUAGAAGUGGUAAGGGGGUGUAGACAGCCAUAACCUUCACCUCCUGUUUCCCUUUUAUAGCCCCCAUUUCUCCAGGAGUGUCUCCUCCUGUGGGCAGGUACAGACAUCAUGCCUGGUACCAGGUUAAAGCUCUGCACACACAUUGUCUCUUUUAUUCUGCAUCCAAGCUUCAAAGGUUGGGAUCAUCAUCUGUGCACUGCAGAUAGCAUGCUCUUCCAGAGAUGCAGGCUGGAGCGGGUCCCCCGGACAGUUUCUACCCAUGGCAGCAUCAGCACUGAAGUUACACCUUUGACUCAGCCAACAUCUCAGAGCUCACGUUUCCCAAGCAGCCUUGGGUCCACACAGCGACUCCCCUUGACGCUUGCAGGCCUCAGAACUCGCUGAGCUCAGUUCUCCUGAUUGGUCUUCAAGACAGUACAAGGUAGAAAUUCAGCUGGGGCCAGGUCGUCAUGAAGUCAUCCAACUCUGACCUUUAAUAUCAUCGUUAAGUGAAUGAUACACAUGCAAAUGUUGGUUGGGCGGGCUAUGUUCAAAGUGUUAGAUACUGAGGUCUUGAAUCUUUCACAGUUUUGGCAUGGCUGGCUUAACAUUUCUGCAUUUGUUAAUGAACAGAAACCAUCAUUAGAAAGAAAGCAGGAUACAGGCUAACCAGUGAAGGUCUGGGACAUAACCUAGUGGUCACCUUUGCUCAUCUCUGACUGGGACUUUGUGCUUUUGGGCUCCCUAGAGAGGCCAUCUUGAUUAGAGGCGUAGGCCUGGAGAUAGGGGGCACUCUAGUAAGGAAAGUUCAUGAUUACCACCAGGUAGCACUACAAAUCAACCAUGAACCCUUGUUCUUGAGAGAGGGAAGACUGUGGCAGGUAAGAGAGCUAGAGACCAGCUUGGGUCGCUCAGGCUCCACUCUCCCACUGAGCGGUACCUCCCCUCCCCUCCCAUCUCCACACCAAGCUUCCCAUGUGGUGGCCCUGACCUGUGUGAAUCCAUCAUGGAGAGCAACUGGAGAGCGGGUUAGUGCCACAUGGGAGGGGAAGGCUCCCUGGUGUGUAUGGUAGGCUUUCAGGUGCUUACCGACCCCAGCACUUGACCAGAAGAAGCCUCAGUCCCUUUCCUAGCAUGACCCCUUUGUCCUUCAAGAUCAUUUGCCUCUAUUUACACUAAAUAGAGGCAGCUCCAUUUUUGAGUUCCUGUAUUUUGGGCAAGCCAAGCUGGAGGUCCCCACAGCCGGUCCAAGCAGGCCUCAGCUGUCCUGGAGAUGGUCACGUGGAAGGCGCUCCCAAGCCCGCUCCUCUGACAAAGUUUAGCAAACAGCUUAUCUCCCAGAAAACACGUGAGGUAAUGUUUAUGAAAUAUCAUCCUGUCCCCUUCAC